CGUGGGGUACUCGAGUGGCGAACGGGUGAGUAACACGUGAGUAACCUACCCUUGACUUUGGGAUAACUUCAGGAAACUGGGGCUAAUACCGGAUAGGAGCUCCUGCUGCAUGGUGGGGUUGGAAAGUUUCGGCGGUUGGGGAUGGACUCGCGGCUUAUCAGCUUGUUGGUGGGGUAGUGGCUCACCAAGGCUUUGACGGGUAGCCGGCCUGAGAGGGUGACCGGCCACAUUGGGACUGAGAUACGGCCCAG
rnacentral:rRNA from 1 species